GAUGAAGAACGUAGCGAAAUGCGAUAAGUAAUGCGAAUUGCAGAAUUUCCGUGAAUCAUCGAAUCUUUGAACGCACAUUGCGCCCCUUGGUAUUCCGGGGGGCAUGCCUGUUCGAGCGUCAUUUCAACCCUCAAGCUCUGCUUGGUAUUGGGCUCCGUCCUCCUCGGACGCGCCUCAAAGACCUCGGCGGUGGCGUCUUGCCUCAAGCGUAGUAGAAACACCUCGCUUUGGAGUGCAUGGCGUCGCCCGCCGGACGAAACCUUUUGUAUUUUCUCAAAGGUUGACCUCGGAUCAGGUAGGGAUACCCGCUGAACUUAAGCAUAUCAAUAAGCGGAGGA
rnacentral:misc_RNA from 1 species